AGAGUUUGAUCCUGGCUCAGGAUGAACGCUAGCGGCAGGCUUAAUACAUGCAAGUCGAGGGGGAUCAGUUGGGUAGCAAUACUCGGCUGUGAGACCGGCAAACGGGUGCGGAACACGUACGCAACCUUCCCAAAACUGGGGAAUAGCCCUCCGAAAGGAGGAUUAAUACCCCGUAACAUAAUGGAGUGGCAUCACUCUAUUAUUAUAGCUCCGGCGGUUUUGGAUGGGCGUGCGCCUGAUUAGGUAGUUGGCGGGGUAACGGCCCACCAAGCCUACGAUCAGUAACUGGUGUGAGAGCACGACCAGUCACACGGGCACUGAGACACGGGCCCGACUCCUACGGGAGGCAGCAGUAAGGAAUAUUGGUCAAUGGACGAAAGUCUGAACCAGCCAUGCCGCGUGAAGGAUGAAGGCCCUCUGGGUUGUAAACUUCUUUUAUAGGGGACGAAAAAAGGGCAUUCUUGCUCACUUGACGGUACCCUAGGAAUAAGCACCGGCUAACUCCGUGCCAGCAGCCGCGGUAAUACGGAGGGUGCAAGCGUUAUCCGGAUUCACUGGGUUUAAAGGGUGCGUAGGUGGGUCUGUAAGUCAGUGGUGAAAUCUCCGAGCUUAACUCGGAAACUGCCAUUGAUACUAUAGGUCUUGAAUAUCCUGGAGGUGAGCGGAAUAUGUCAUGUAGCGGUGAAAUGCUUAGAUAUGACAUAGAACACCAAUUGCGAAGGCAGCUCGCUACGGGAUUAUUGACACUGAGGCACGAAAGCGUGGGGAUCAAACAGGAUUAGAUACCCUGGUAGUCCACGCCCUAAACGAUGGAUACUCGACAUCAGCGAUACACUGUUGGUGUCUGAGCGAAAGCAUUAAGUAUCCCACCUGGGAAGUACGACCGCAAGGUUGAAACUCAAAGGAAUUGACGG
rnacentral:rRNA from 1 species